GUUGUAUAGUCAAGUAAUUAAGUGCAUGUGGUGGAUGCCUUGGCAGUCAGAGGCGAUGAAAGACGUGAUAGCCUGCGAAAAGCUCCGGGGAGGCGGCAAAUAUCCUUUGAUCCGGAGAUGUCUGAAUGGGGGAACCCACCUACUUUAAGGUAGGUAUUGCAACAUGAAUACAUAGUGUUGCAAGGCGAACGAGGGGAAGUGAAACAUCUCAGUACCCUUAGGAAAAGAAAUCAAUUGAGAUUCCCUCAGUAGCGGCGAGCGAACGGGGAUCAGCCCAUUAAGUUAUGUGUGUUUUAGUGGAACGCUCUGGGAAGUGCGAACGUAGAGGGUGAUAUUCCCGUACACGAAAGGGCACACAUAAUGAUGACGAGUAGGGCGAGGCACGUGAAACCUUGUCUGAAUAUGGGGGGACCAUCCUCCAAGGCUAAAUACUCCUGACUGACCGAUAGUGAACCAGUACCGUGAGGGAAAGGCGAAAAGAACCCCUGUGAGGGGAGUGAAAUAGAUCCUGAAACCGCAUGCAUACAAGCAGUGGGAGCACCUUCGUGGUGUGACUGCGUACCUUUUGUAUAAUGGGUCAGCGACUUAUAUUCAGUAGCGAGGUUAACCGUAUAGGGGAGCCGUAGAGAAAUCGAGUCUUAAUAGGGCGUUUAGUUGCUGGGUAUAGACCCGAAACCAGGCGAUCUAUCCAUGAGCAGGUUGAAGGUUGGGUAACACUAACUGGAGGACCGAACCCACUGUCGUUGAAAAGCCAGGGGAUGACUUGUGGAUAGGGGUGAAAGGCUAAUCAAGCCUGGUGAUAGCUGGUUCUCCCCGAAAGCUAUUUAGGUAGCGCCUCGGACGAAUACCAUAGGGGGUAGAGCACUGUUUCGGCUAGGGGGUCAUCCCGACUUACCAAACCGAUGCAAACUCCGAAUACCUAUGAGUACUAUCCGGGAGACAGACUGCGGGUGCUAACGUCCGUAGUCAAGAGGAAAACAAUCCAGACCGCCAGCUAAGGCCCCAAAAUCAUAGUUAAGUGGGAAACGAUGUGGGAAGGCAUAGACAGCUAGGAGGUUGGCUUAGAAGCAGCCACCCUUUAAAGAAAGCGUAAUAGCUCACUAGUCGAGUCGGCCUGCGCGGAAGAUGUAACGGGGCUAAAACUAUGUGCCGAAGCUGCGGAUNNNNNNNNNNNNNNNNNNNNNNNNNNNNNNAUGCUGGAGGUAUCAGAAGUGCGAAUGCUGACGUGAGUAACGACAAAACGGGUGAAAAACCCGUUCGCCGAAAGACCAAGGGUUCCAGUCCAACGUUAAUCGGGGCUGGGUGAGUCGACCCCUAAGGCGAGGCCGAAAGGCGUAGUCGAUGGGAAAAUGGUUAAUAUUCCAUUACUUCUGUGUAAUGCGAUGAGAGGACGGAGAAGGCUAAAUCAGCCUGGCGUUGGUUGUCCAGGUGAAAGGAUGUAGGCAUGUAUCUUAGGCAAAUCCGGGGUACUCUAUGCUGAGAUCUGAUAGCAAGCUGUACUUGUACAGCGAAGUGGUUGAUGCCAUGCUUCCAGGAAAAGUCUCUAAGCUUCAGUUACACAGGAAUCGUACCCGAAACCGACACAGGUGGUCAGGUCGAGUAGACCAAGGCGCUUGAGAGAACUCUGCUGAAGGAACUAGGCAAAAUGGUACCGUAACUUCGGGAGAAGGUACGCUGUUGUUGGUGAUGGAACUCGCUUCCUGAGCUGACGACAGCCGCAGAAACCAGGCCGCUGCAACUGUUUAUUAAAAACAUAGCACUCUGCAAACACGAAAGUGGACGUAUAGGGUGUGAUGCCUGCCCGGUGCUGGAAGGUUAAUUGAUGGGGUUAGCGUAAGCGAAGCUCUUGAUCGAAGCCCCAGUAAACGGCGGCCGUAACUAUAACGGUCCUAAGGUAGCGAAAUUCCUUGUCGGGUAAGUUCCGACCUGCACGAAUGGCAUAAUGAUGGCGGCGCUGUCUCCAGCAGAGGCUCAGUGAAAUCGAAAUCGCUGUGAAGAUGCAGUGUACCCGCGGCUAGACGGAAAGACCCCGUGAACCUUUACUGCAGCUUGACACUGAACUUUGACCUUACUUGUGUAGGAUAGGUGGGAGGCUUUGAAGCUGGAACGCUAGUUCCAGUGGAGCCGUCCUUGAAAUACCACCCUGGUAAUGUUGAGGUUCUAACUCUGUCCCGUGAUCCGGGACGAGGACCGUGUCUGGUGGGUAGUUUGACUGGGGCGGUCUCCUCCUAAAGAGUAACGGAGGAGUACGAAGGUGCGCUCAGCGUGGUCGGAAAUCACGCGUAGAGUAUAAAGGCAAAAGCGCGCUUAACUGCGAGACCCACAAGUCGAGCAGGUACGAAAGUAGGUCUUAGUGAUCCGGUGGUUCUGUAUGGAAGGGCCAUCGCUCAACGGAUAAAAGGUACUCUGGGGAUAACAGGCUGAUACCGCCCAAGAGUUCAUAUCGACGGCGGUGUUUGGCACCUCGAUGUCGGCUCAUCUCAUCCUGGGGCUGAAGCAGGUCCCAAGGGUAUGGCUGUUCGCCAUUUAAAGAGGUACGCGAGCUGGGUUUAGAACGUCGUGAGACAGUUCGGUCCCUAUCUACCGUGGGCGCUGGAAAUUUGAGAGGAUCUGCUCCUAGUACGAGAGGACCAGAGUGGACGAACCUCUGGUGUACCGGUUGUGACGCCAGUCGCAUCGCCGGGUAGCUAUGUUCGGAAGGGAUAACCGCUGAAAGCAUCUAAGCGGGAAGCCUACCUCAAGAUAAGAUUUCCCUAGGACUUUAUGUCCUCUAAAGAGCCGUUCGAGACUAGGACGUUGAUAGGUUGGAUGUGGAAGCAUAGUGAUAUGUGAAGCUGACCAAUACUAAUUGCUCGUGAGGCUUGACUAUACAACACCCAAGCAGUUG
rnacentral:rRNA from 1 species